GUGCUCGCCUUGGCAGCACAUGUACUAAAAUCGGAAUGAUACAGAGAAGGUUAGCAUGGCCCCUAUGCAGGGGUGACACACAGGUUCCUCAGGAGUUCCAUAUUUUU
ensembl:snRNA U6 U6 spliceosomal RNA